rnacentral:lncRNA from 1 species
AUGGGUGCGGGGCACAUCCAGAUGGGCUCUACACCUACUGCAACAAGUUGCAGAGUAGAAAGGAAGAUCAAAGGGUUACAUAUAAAGGCAAGGGGAAAUUCUAGUUUCCUAUUUCAAGACCCCCACACCCUCCCACACAGGUACACCUCAAGGGAGAGGAGAGACCUUUCAUUGGUAAUUUCCCCUGAAAUUGCUGCUCCCAGCAGUUAUCUGAAGCUGAAAACUGGACCCAAAAGGGGAGAUGUUGUCCUUCCAGUGACCUUUUUUUUUUUUUUUCCCCAGGGAUCACUCUUACUGGCUUGGCCGGGGAAGGAAGAUGGCAGCUCUGGUGCGAUGCAGUCGUUUGAAUGGGCGAGAAAUAGAGGAAUUGUCUCAGUGAACUACAUCUGCAAUCAGUGCGCUGCAACGGCAAGUAGAAGAGCAUGACUGACUGACCUCGUUAGUACAGUGGUGCUAAUUAACACUUGAUGAUUCGCAUAGUAAAACCUCGUGUAUUUCAUGUCCAUCCUCUGCUCUUUGUGCACUUACGUCUUUGAAGUUUGAUGUUAAUAGUGAAUAGCUGCGAGUCCAAGCAGUUUAUAUGCCUGCUCAAUAAUUUAUAUCUCGGUUGGCUUUGGUCAGCUCAUCCCUGCUCCAGAGAACCAGGAAAGUGAGGAUGCCUGAAACACCCUGAUCCUGCUCAACUGGCGAACGGCUAGAAAAGACAUUUUAAAUAGCGGGCAGUCUCCCUUGCUGAAUAACGGCAAGGAGCGCAACAGCAGGAAGAGACAGGGCCUAUCCUUCUACUCUGUCCUGCCUUCCUAACCAUGAAUUUGCAUGAUGGAAAAGAGGAAGGGCGCUUUUCUUAGUAAGGGGCAGGAACUCCACCUAAUCCCCUUUCUUCAGAAUUUAGGGGAUAAAACAUCACUCUAAUACACCCAGUGACUGCACCCUGGGUAAGAUGCCAUUUUCCUUCAGUAGAUGUAGAGGUUUCUUUCCUCAUAAUCCUUGCAUUGUUUGGACACAAUCCUCUUCUGUACGCUUAUGUUUUUCCAUUGCUAGGUGAUUUUUUUCAAUUGCUGGUGAAUGCGUGGCCCUUUUGUUAUCCAUAUUCAGUGUCAAUUCUGUGGUAUUUAAUCAUGUCAAAACGCGAAGUGCUUCGAUUGAAAAACAUUUUCAGUGGACAUCAGUAAUUGAUUUCCUUUUUUGUUGUGAAUUUUGGAGGCUUGCAGAUCAAAGUAGCUUCUAAAACUUUGAUACAGGAGAGAGAGAGAGAGAGAGCACCUUUUCAAGCAUGCAUUGCAAUAUAUUUGCUACCCUCUUGCUAAUAGCUUGCAGUAGGUGAAAAGGCAGUACAGGUAAUCCGGAAUGCAAUUGAAGAAAGAAACGUGGAGAGAGGUAACAGCAGACACAUGUUGCCUUUUAUCCCCUAUGAAGUGUUGAUUCC